rnacentral:misc_RNA from 1 species
UCCGAGUUGACCCCGGCAGUCUCUCACGAGUCCCCGCCAUUACGCGCUGGCAACAUAAGAUAAGGGUUGCGCUCGUUGCGGGACUUAACCCAACAUCUCACGACACGAGCUGACGACAGCCAUGCACCACCUGUACACCAACCACAAGGGGGGCCGUAUCUCUACGGCUUUCUGGUGUAUGUCAAACCCAGGUAAGGUUCUUCGCGUUGCAUCGAAUUAAUCCACAUGCUCCGCCGCUUGUGCGGGCCCCCGUCAAUUUCUUUGAGUUUUAGCCUUGCGGCCGUACUCCCCAGGCGGGGUACUUAAUGCGUUAGCUACGGCACGGAGUCCGUGGAAGGAGCCCCACACCUAGUACCCACCGUUUACGGCAUGGACUAC